ACUAAUAUAUACAUAAAAUAGAAAAAUCGAGGACCCUCUCUGUCUUCAGACAGCAGGGUCUAGAACUUUCUUUCCAAAUCCUUUGUCCUAGCUCCGUCCCAGCACAUCGAUGGCGAAAACUUCACCAAAGGCUCCUCUGUAGCUGAUGAGAGUUGAGUGCACCAGUGAAUCACAUUUGGGAAGGGGAAGACUAUUGUUGAUCUUGGAUAGAUUACACCAAGACGCUAUAGAUCUCACUAACGCCCUGUAUUCUUGUCCAGCGAAAACUUCUUCAACCCAACAAAUCUUGGCCCUGUUCCUAUAUGAAAUGGUUAGUAUGAAUUACCAUUGCUUUUGCUAAAUCUUCAGGCUCUUGAUAUGGCUGCACCUUGUUGGAUUUCCCAACCCCUAAGUUCUCUCCUUCUUGAUUCUUUCCUGCACUUGCUCUUUUACUGCUUUCCUCAUUAGAUGAUGCAUCAUUAUUACCUUAAUCCCCUGCAGUGGCAUUUGAUUUGUAAAAAGAUAUGAUAAUCCAUUUUUUAGUGUUCAUCUUCCCCCCUUCCUUUUAUUACUCUCACCUUUAUCAUGUUCUUCAUGAAGAGCAUUAAAAGAGUUGAUAGUCGCAAUCUACGGCUUUUCUAGUUCCAUGCCUACAGUAGUAACCACCUUGUCAAUGUUUCUGAUGAAUCUUCUGCUAGUAGAGUUCUAUUGUUUUAUAGGGAGCCUUGAUGCCUUGUUCUGUUCUUUCUCAUUUAGAUCCAUAGCUGCAUUUUGUUCUUGCUUUCUCAAUUCUGGGUGAAGGAUUUUGCACUCCUCCUCAUUAUUUCCUUGUAACUUACAUUUUUUGCAAUACCUAGGGAGCAUAUAAUAUAUCACUUUCACUCUUUCAACCCUUGAUAAAGUUUUCCCUUUGUUCUCAAUUUCCAAUUCCACAAAUUUAGGUAGAUCACCUAGCAAAUCCACUUGGACUUUCACCCUAGCACAACUAGGUCUAGUCUUGUUGAUAGUAGCUGUGUCUAAAUGGAUUGGUUUACCCAAUGUAGAGGCCAAUGAAAAAAUAGCUUCCUUCCUAAAGAAAGUAGGCCAUAGGCUAGGGAAGGAAAUCCAUGCCAUAGCUUGAGUUGUUUCUUCAUCAACUUUGAACUUCUCAUCGUAAAUUAGAGGUCUCAUUGGAUAGUAUAGAUCUGCAUUAUUAUUAAUAUAAUAGGAAGGCUUGGACAUUAUAUUCACAAAGUUUUCAAAUAGUUCAAAUCUCAUCCAAACAUGCCUAUGUCUCAGUAGACCUAUUUGGCAUGCACCUUUUACAUUACAUUCUUUAGGAAUAAUCCUUCUAUGUUCUUCUAAUUCUGGCCUCCCAUAUGAGAACUUUUCUAUCACAGCAUACUAAAGAUUCUCCAUUAUAUUCAUAUGUUUUACUUCUUCCUCCGUCCAAGUAACCCAAGGAAUACCAUUGUUAAACAUAGGAUUUUUAAACGAAACUAAUGAAGGUCAUUUCUUUGUUUCUCCUCCGUUCAGACGAUUGCAUAUUUUCCAUCUUGAAAUAUGAUAGCAACAUCGAUAGGCAUGUUAGGAUCGUUAGGCAAAAUAUUAGGGUUAUCACCACCACUAUUGAGUAAACUUGUUUGACGAGUAAAAGGCAGCCCGGUGCACUAAAUCUUUCGCUAUGCGCAGAGUUCAGGAAAGAGCCCGACCACAAGGGUUUAUUGUAUGCAACUUUACCUUGCAUUUUUGUUAGAGGUUGUUUUCAAGGCUUGAACCCAUGACCUCCUGGUCACAUAGUUAGGAAAAUGAUUAUUAGAAGUUAGAUGGACAGCCUGACCAGUCGCCUGGGAUGACUGGCCUGUGAUCGGAGUAGCCAUGUCGAAUUAUUGGAUGAUUAGGGUUAGGGUUUGGAUUAGGGUUUACAUGACAGAGGAGAGAAUUUGAAUUAGUCUAGCUUGGUAAGCAAUGAAACUUCCAUUUAAUGACCAGCUCGUUAGGAAACUAAAAUUUUAUGACUUUGGUUCUACAGUCGACUGUAACGUUACAUGUGUAACUAGUCCAUGCCAAGAAUGAUAUCAAAAUCAUGCAUGUUCAACUCUACUAGAUCAACUAGGGUGGUUUUUUGAAAAUUAGGAUCACUCAAAUUGUGUCUACCCGUUUAGCUAAAACUGAUUCACCAACAGGAGUAGACACUAGAAAAAAUUCUAAAUAGAUUUUAGGACUGACAUCAAAAUUCAUAGCAACAUAAGGAGUCACAAAGGAACGAUUUGAUCCAGGAUCUAGUAGCAUAAACAUCACGAUGAAAGACUCGUAACAUAUAAAUAACUACAUCAUGGGGAUCCUCUGAUCCUAUCGAAGUUUAAAAGCAUAAAACCUGCCUGGGCGUUGUUUGCCACCAACACUAGAUAAAGUACCCUAUUAAGACGAGCGACCUACUAAAGCACUAGGUUAAGUCUACUAGAAAACAUCCCUACCCUUACCUUAGGCCAAUGGUCAAUCCCUCAAUCUAUGACCAGCUUACAACAUCUAAAACAACCACCUGAAUAGGCCAUGCACUCUCCUGAGUGACUCUUACCAUACUUGUAACAAGUAGGAAUAGAGCAUCCAUUAGAGACACUACCAUGAUACAUAGAUCAUGUUUCUAUAUCCUUGUUAAACUUAGACAUCUGGGAACUAGCAAAAGAUGGGGCCGGGCUAGAAGACUUCUGUCAGAAGUUAACCCGACUACCACCUCUUGAUUUCUAAUAAAAUAGUCCACAUUAUCUGUCCAAGCCAUGUUGUUAUCCCUAGCCCUCUCUUUGAGAUUUUUCUUCUCAAUCUAUUAAGCAUGAGUCAUCAAAGGGGAGACAUCCAUCUCCUUGAUCAGUAUCACAAUUCUCCAUUCAUUCACUGUCGUCUCAGAAACAACAGAGACAAACUUACUUAUGCGGGCCUUAGAGUCGGCCACUAUAGUUAGAGCACACUUCGAAAGUUGGGUAAGCUUCAAAGAAUACUCCUUCAAAGUCAUGUUACCUUACUUCAAUUUAAUGAACUCUUGGACCUUCUCUUCCCACAAGUUGAGUAGAAAGAACAUGUCAAGAAAAACACCCUCAAACUUAUAUCAAUCAACUGAACCUGCAUCAUCGGUCUUUUUAUCCUUCCAUUACUUGUAUCAAAUUUAAACCACUCCCUUCAACUGAUAAGUGGCUAAAUCAGCACUCUCAACUGGCAUGACACCCAUGUUCUCGAUAAUCUUCUAGAUACCUUCUAUGAAUUCUUGUGGAUCUUUUUCUACAUUUGAACCAUAGAACUUCGGAGGGUUCAUUCGAGUGAAAUCUCGGACUCUAAUACCAGUUAUAUUAGCAUUAGGGUUGAUCAUGGCGCUAACUUCUCAGUUGAACUGAGCAGGCAUAGGUUGGCUAACAUAUAAAAAACAUCCCUAAACUCAGUAUGAGAUACUUGUUCAGCCAAAGGGUCCGUAGGGGAUUAAGGUGUGUAUGUAUCUUCAUUCUAAUUCCUUCUAAUGUAAUUUUUUCUUGGAGGCAUGAUGCAGUAAACGUAUAGAGAAAGAGUUAGAAAGAAACUAUACAAAGUUACAAUCUAUCACAUGACUGAUAAUAUAAAAGAAGUAAAGUAUUUUCUAAAACAUUUCAUAGCCACCUAUUUGCAAAUGUGGUUCAUUUCAAGCCUAUGAAUAAGAUGCGAUUUCAGACACCCUAAGACACUUGAACCUAUGCUCUAAUACCAAGUUUCUCACAACUCGAGACUACCCCUCGACGCGACACUGUUCUUAGAGCCACAACUGACCCCAAGCUAACCUCAUGGCAUGAUAUGACACUAAGAUUCAUAAAUAAUAGACAAGAGAUACUAAAAUAUGAAAAGUAUCAUGAUGUCUAAAAGAGAGUCUAACAUCAAAAUAGACCAUAUCUAAAACAAUAUUGGUGAAAUUUGACUUAUUGUCUGAAAGUCUCUAUUACAUUAAUGAGUUGCUAGGACAAACCCCUAGCUAACUCUAAAAUCUAUAAACUGAAAGAAAUAACACUGAAAGAAACAUAAGACGUCCUCAAACAAUGAAGACUCACCAAACUAGCUAACUCGCUGACCGGAUGUGUAGUAACCGCGAGCAUAAUGUAGAGCGUCAAAAUCAAUAUUAUAAAAUAAUUUAGGCAGAAAAUAUGCGAUCAGUACUUUAAAAAUACCGCUGAGGAAUAUGCAUAAAGAAGAUGAUAUUUGAACAUACUAAAUCUGUAAAAUAUGCUAAUAUAAUGAUCAAGUAAAUAUCAUGAAAACUGAUAAUUGAAUUGAAAUAACUUAAUAAACUGAAAUACUUGACCAUGCAAUAACUAAUAACUGACCGUGAGAGGUAUCAUUAACUGACAUAUAACCAUAUGAGAUACAAUAUGAAAUAUGAUAUAUUUCCCCACCAAAAGGGCCAAAUAUUCUUGCCAAGGUGUAAAGACAUGAGUCUGAGCUAAUGUGGAUACACUAAGCUAAUGUCCAAUUGGAACAAAACCUACCAUUGCAUGUAGUUCUAAGAAUAGGGAUUGCUAAUAAAGGAUUACAGACAUUGAACAAAAUCCUUCAUUCCUAAGUCCACUCGGUGCCAAAAAUAUGCAUAAAUCGAUAAAGUAAUAAUCCAGUAGUAUUGUAAUUCUGAUAAAUUGAUAAUAUAAAAAGUAGCCCCUAAAUCAUUGUUUAAAAUUAAUAAUAAAUGAACACUUUAUCUGAAAGUAUCAUAAAUUAUGAUAACUAAUAAAUAUUGAAAGAUAUUUUUAUCUAAAAGCAUCUAAAAUCAUAGAAUUCUGAUCAUCUGAGACAUACACUUGAAAUUAUAUAAUUCUAGAUCAUGAAAAUGCUUAUAUGCUAUGGGUUCAGGAAAUUCCUUUUGAAAACAUAGAAUUACAAUUAAAAUCGUGGAAUUAUACUUGAAAUCAUGUAAUUUGAGAUCAUACUUGAAGAAUAACUUAAAUUCAAUAAGAACCUAUGAAGAUCAUAAAAAUUCUAGGUUUGGAGUAUCAUAGAACUUGAGAAUGGAGGAUUUCUUUUGGACUCACUGGGUGGAAGUAAACCCAUUGAUGAAAUCCCACAUACGUAGAGUAGAAACCUUGGAUCAAUUCCUUCAAUGGAGGCUUGAAUUUUGAAAUCCUAGUUCUUACCUAGGGAGGAAUCUUGAGAGAGAGGAAAUCUUAAGUGGGUGAGUUAUGAGAAACUGAGGGACUUAGGUUUAUAAGAAUCCCUUAAUCCAACUUAGAAUAGCGUAAGUAGGGUUAAAAAGAAUGUGAAAAGGACUGAAAAACCCUUGAUUAAAAAGCUAUCAGAGGCAUCUACGGACCAUAGCUCCUUAUAUAGACCAUAAAAGUCUUUCCUUAGAGAUCAAAAAAGAUUUUAAGGUUUUUAAAGUUUCAAUCCAUGAGACCCUUUUUAUGGUCCAGAGUUCCAACUACAAGAUGUCAUGCAUGCUUGUAGAAUAAUUAUACUGAAACAUCAAAGCUUAGAAGAUUGACCUAUAAAACCCAUCUGUAGAUUAAUUUACAAUCCGUAAAAGAAGGUUUGGUAAUGAUCAGGGAGGAUUUCUCUGUUUCAAGACUUUUAGUUUACAAGGUCCAUCCACAACUUGUAAACACUUCCAUCACUCGUAAUUUCAUUUCAUCCUAUUCAAGGUUAAUUUUUCCAACUUUUUGAAUCUCAAUCCAUGAACCCUUUCUACAACACAUAAAAGUUCUAUGAGCCAUAAACCUGGCUCUUGAAUCUCAGAUUUGGUUUCUUGAAUUCUAAAGUUCCAUCUAAGGAUCUUAUCUAUGAAUUUUGGUUCCAUUUACAUGUCGUAAAUGGUUCUUAUAAAUGCCAAAAAUUUACAGGCUUCAAAUUUCUAAAUUGGUCAACCCUGAUAUGUACUUAGGGAAUUCUUAGGUGUUACAUUUUUGGACUAACAAAUGCCCUUGCAACUUUUAUGGACCUGAUAAACAAGGUGUUCAAAUAGUACUAGCACAUGUUUUUCAUUGUCUUCAUAGAUGAUAUCCUUAUCUAUUCUCAAAACAAGGAUGAGCAUGCAGGCCAUUUGAGGAUUAUCUUGCAGAUUCUUAAGGACAACCAAUUGUUUGCUAUCUUUGGAAAGUGUGAGUUUUUUCAGGUCAGUAGCAUUCCUUGGUCAUAUAAUCUCUGGAGAAGGCAUUCAGGCUAAUCCGCAAAAGUCCAAAGCAGUUAAGAAAUGGCCUAGACCUCUUUCUCCUUCAGACAUUAGGAGUUUCUUGGGUUUAGCUGGUUACUAAAGAUAAUUUUUUGAAGGAUUUUCCUCUAUUUCUUCUUAAUUUCAGUGAUAUGAAGCUUGUGAGAAGAAUUUUCAGGAGUUGAAGACUCGACUUACUUUAGCUCCAGUUUUGACUUUAUUAGAGGGUUUAGAUGUGUUUGUGGUUUAUUUUGAUGCUUCCAGAAUUGACCUUAGUUGUGUGUUGAUGCAACAUGGUAAUAUCAUAGCUUAUUAUUCUAGGCAGCUCAAGAUUCAUGAGAAAAAUUACCCGACUCACGAUCUUGAGUGAGCAGCAGGAGUGUUUUUCUUGAAAAUUUGAAGGCACUACCUUUAUGGUCUUCAUGUAGGUGUGUUUAUAGACCAUAAGAGUAUCCAGUAUGUGUUCAAUCAUAAGAACUUAAAUAUUUUUUAGGUAGACGACUUGAGUUGUUGAAAAACUAUGACAUGAGUAUCAUAUACCAUCCAGGUAAAGCUGAUGUAGCAACAUAUGCUCUCAAUAGGUUUUAUAUGUACUUGCUCACAUUUGUGAAGAAAAUGAGUUAGUUCAUGAUGCUCAUAGGUUGCUCGUUUGGGAGUUCACCUUGUGGAUUUAGCAGAUGGUGGAUUUAUCAUUCAAAAUGAUUCAGAAUCAUCUCUUGUGAUGGAGGUUAAUGAAAAGCAAGAUGGUGAUCCAACCUUGGUAGAGUUGAAAGAAGUAGUCCUUAAAAAGAUAGUGGAAGCUUUCUCCAAAAGGGGAGAUGGUGUGCUUCAGUACUGGAACUGGUAUUGUGUCACAUAUGUUGAUGCUUUGAGGAAGAAGAUACUAUCAGAAUCUCACAGUUCUACUUAAUCUAUUCACCCAGGAUCCACCAAGAUGUACCAUGAUCUAUGGGAAGUGUAUUGAUGGAAUGAUAUAAAUUAGGAUAUUGUAGAAUGUGUGGCUAAGUGUCUAAAUUACCAACAAGUUAUGGUUGAACAUUAGAAUCCAAGAGGUAUGACUCAGGAUAUCAAUAUUCCUACUUAAAAGUGGGGUGAUUUAAAGAUAGGCUUCAUCGUAGGUUUGCUUCGAUUCAGUCGACAACAUGAUUCUAUAUGGAUGGUUGUAGACCGAAUGACUAAAUCAGCAUAUUUUCUAUCUAUUAAGACUUAUAAUUCACCCGAAGAUUAUGCUAGACUUUACACCCGCAAGCUAGUAAAAUUGCAUGAGGUUUCCUUAACCAUCAUCUCAAACAGGGGUACUCAAUUUACAUCUCAGUCUUAGAGAUUUCAGAAAGGUCUUGGUACUCAGGUUACGCUUAGCACAACUUUUCACCCAUAGAUAGAUGGUCAGUCCAAAUGGACUAUUCAGACUUUGGAAGAUAUGUUGAGAGCUUGUAUAAUCGAGUUUACAGAUAAUUGGGAUGAUAACUUUUCUCUAAUUGAAUCCGCUUAUAAUAACAAUUAUCAUUCCAGUAUUCAUAUAGAUCCAUUCAAAGCACUUUAUGGUAGGAGGUGUAGAUCUCCUAUAGGAUGGUUUGAGGUUGGUAAAGUGGAUUUGAUAGUGCUGAAUUAGUUCAUGAGGCUAUGGAGAAAGUUCAACUUAUCAGACAUAGGUUGAGGAUAGCUUAGAGUAGGCAAAAAUCACAUGCAGAUGUGAGGAGAAUAGAGCUUGAAUUUGCGAUUGGUGAUUUGACAUAUUUGAAAAUUUCACCUAUGAAAAGGGUGAUGAGGUUUGGUAAGAAAUAAAAGCUCAUUUCCUGUUAUGUUGGUCCUUAUAGAAUUCUAAGGUGCUUUGGUAAGGUGGUCUAUGAGCUAGCUUUACCUACAGAGCUGGCAUCAGUGCAUCUAGUGUUUCAUGUGUCUUUGUUGAAGAAAUGCAUUGGUGAUACCACUUCAAUUUUGCCUUUAUAAAGUAUUAGUGUGAAGGGUAGUCUUUCUUAUGAAGAGGUCCCAAUCAUGAUCCUUGACCGUCAGGUUCGCAAGUUAAGGAAUAGGGAAGUCGCUUCAGUGAAAGUUCUUUGGAGGAAUCAGUUAGUUGAGGGAGCUACUGGGGAAGCAGAAGCAGAUAUGAUGGCCAAGUACCCCCACCUCUUCCUUUCUAGUUCAAUCCCAACAUAAGGUAAUAGUUCUUCCAUGUAUCCUAUUCAUAUUUAUUGAUUCUGAUUAUUCACUUGUUCCAGUAUGCAUGCAUAUUUAUGAAAAUUAGUCCACUCUUCAUGUCUCAGUUUGAAGUCAGUUACUCCACAAGUUUUCAAUGUUUAGAUUUUAGUUUCAAGUUUGCAGAUCCUUCUCUACUCUUUUCAAUAGAUCCAUAGACCGUAGAUGGCCUAGUGGAACCUGUCGAUAAUGGUUUUUCUUCAUGAUUAUUUUGGUUUUCAUACACUCAUUUAAUCCCUAUACUAUGUCAUUUUUUCCUAUCCUAAGUGAGAUUAGGGAAGAGUUAGUCGACUUAACCUCCCUAUUCAUACCCAAUACUCAAACAAACAUAAUUCUCACAUUCUAAAUUUUCUCAAGGAAGAAACUGGGUUUUCACCUUCAUGUCUCAGUUCAUGGUUCUAAGCUAGGGCUUCCAUUCUAGGUUUGUGGAAUUUCAUCAAUAGAAAUUCUUUCACCCAUUGAGUCCCAAUGUAAACCCAGUUUUUCAGUGAAUAAUUUCUACAAAGUUAUGGUUCAUAUGUAAAACAUAAUUUUGCAUUAAGUUUUCCCAUUCUUUUUCAUGGAUAGUUCAAUUCUGUGUUUUCAUCUAUAAAAUCAGUACUCUUAAAUAAUAUCUUCAUGAGCCCUUAGUAUAUAAAUAUUUUUAUGGCUCAAAACUAUGUUGUUUUAGAGUGCAUGUCUUAGAUUAUCAUCUUUCAUGAUAAGGAUGCUUCCAGAUAAGUAUCUACUAGUUAUUAUCGGUUUAUCUUUAUUCAUGAGCUACUCAUAUUAUCAAUUUAUUUGUAUUAUUAGUUAAUUAGUAUGUUAUCAUUGGGAGUAUUACUUAGCACCAAUCGGCUCUAGGGAUGAAGGCUCACUCGUCAUUUAGGAUUGAGACCUUUAGUAGCAAUACCUAAGUCCCAAACUAUAUGUCACCUUAGGAUUAGAAGGAUCACCCAUCAGACCAGGAUUGACUACUUAGUCCUUUAUGGACAUUUGCUUAGUGUUACCACAUUAGCUUAUAUCAAUCUUUAUACCCUGGCAAGGCAUAUUGAGCCAUUUUCGAUGGGAAUUAUACAUCAAACUUUAUGUUAGCUCACAUGGUUAUAUGAUAGUUAUUAGUACCUUACAAAGUUCAGUCUCAGUUAAUGCAUGGCCUUGUAGUCAAUUAUUUCAACUUUAGUAUUUAUCAGUUACAUCUUUACUACUUUGUCAUUGCAUUAGUUCAUGACUAUUUAGCUUAGUAUCUCAAAUUUAUCAUGUUUAGUCUAGUAGUUUUAUCAUGUAUAUCUCACAUACUCAGUAUUCAAAGUACUAGCAUCGCGCUAUAUUAUUUUAUAAUAUAGGUUCAGACGCUCAAUAUUCACCUCGUGGUUAGUACGAUCUAUAUUCAUCAUAGGAGCAGCAUUAGUGAGUCCUCAUCUUUCGAGGACGAUCUUUAUCUUUAUUUUGCUCUUUGUUUUCUUCAGUUUUCAGAAAGGUAGAGUUAAUUUGGGGUUUGUCCCAGUAACUCAUCUUAGUAGCGGUUUUUAGACAGUUAGAUAUUAGCUUCAGCUUAUGAUUUAUUCAGUUGUUCUAUGUAGUUUUUGGAUUUAAUACAUUUUCCAGUUUAGCUUCGGCAUUCAGUUAUUUCAAGUAUUGUCUAUAUUAAUAUUAGUGUUAUGUCAGUCUAUGAGUUAGUUUGGGAUCACUUGUGACUCUAAGCACCAUGUUAUGAUUAGGGGGUAGCCUCAAGUCGUGAAAGAUAGCCUAUCAGAUUCAUUAGCAAAUCACGCUUUUGAACAACAAAAAUAGAAGCUUUCAUGGCUCCUUCCGGAAAGAAAUCGUAAUGUGAGCGAAUUUGAAGACUUAAAGACAUGCAUUUCAUUUCUUUCAAGAGAGAAUCAAAGAACAUUGACACGUUCAUAAGCACUACAUUCAUUCAUAGUCAACAUACACACAUGACAGAACAUAGUUAAGCAACAAAUCAAAAAUUGUAAAGGAUACACAACACAAAUAUUGACAUAAAAGUAAGCAUGAAAGAAGGCAUUGUUGUGUAUAAAUUAGCUAGGCUAUUACAAAUUAUCUAUCAAAAUACUUCACCAAAAAUGAAGGACAAUAGGGUUUUGCUGAAUUUGGAGGUUGGAGGUACAAACCUAGUGUGAAAGCCAUGCGACCACAACAUCCAAAUCUACACUCAAAAUUCUUAGAGAAUUUUUCAGACCCGAACACUUGAAAAGAUAGAUCAGAAGUUACAUAGCAAACACUGGAAGGUGUUUAACAAAAACAAAUGAGCUCACCUUUAUGAAGAAGAAAAAUUGUGACCACCAAGCAAGGGAAGAGCAGAAGAACGAAGUAUAUUCAAAGGAGAAGCAUCUUCAAUUGGUGAUUCUGGCACAACAAGGAGGAAACAUUCUCAUACGGCGAUGAAGACAAAUGGAGAGAGCACCAGAUACUCUUUUAGGAAAGUCCGAUCAAUCUUCUUUUAGUAUAGGAAUAGUUUGUAUUUAGGAUCAGCUCAUUUGUUGGACCUGUACUUUAAUUUUUUAUUUUUGGAUUUUUCGGCCUUUGGCCUUUAUUUGUAGUAAGGGAUCGAUUAGUACAAAGAUUACUAAAACAAGGAUUAAUAAGACAGAGAUAAGUAACACAUGGAUUAGUAAUGGAGGGAUUAUUUUUUAUUAA